CGUGUUUGUAUCUGUUCUCCUUAGGGAAUGCCUGAACAGUUCUAUUGACUCAAAGUAAAGAUCAAAAGAACCAAAUGCCAGCAACAGCCAAAUUAAUCAUCAGUAACCCUGUGUUCUAUCCACAGUCGAAAUCUUUCC
rnacentral:lncRNA from 1 species